UAAAAUACAAAGGGAUUUAACCAGAUAGUUCCCAACAGUUAAUUCUUAAAUUUGUUGUGAAAUGUUCCCGUGAAAGUAAGCUAACAUCAUUGUAGUCAGCAGGCAUGCCUCUUGUCAUGUUUGAUAAGAUAUAGCUACUUCGAUAUGCUGAAGAAAUCAUAGUUUGGCUUUAGCCAGCAUAUGUAACAAUGUAGCCUAUAUGUGCAUGUAUUUUAUAUGUUUGAUUUUAUAUUGUUUGGUAGGCUAUUGUAUUUAAAAUGUUUACUUCGCUGCAGUAGCCUGCAUUCAGUAUAAAAAAAACAUCUUCAUUUGAAAAUAAAGUGCAGUAUUCUAUGAUCAUUUGAUAAUUUCCCUUACAGGCCUCUUAACGGAUUACUGUUAAAUGAAGGAUAAUACAACAUAAAAAUAAUGUUCAUGGUGGGCUAUGUUGUGAGUUGAGGAAAAACAUGAUACAUUUGAACAUUUUAGUUAAUUUAUGUACACAUGCGAUGCGUUAUCUCAACGUGUCCACUUGGUGGGGGUAGCUACGAGCAGAACAAUCUUGGUGGGUGACACGUCUAGGACCACCUCUUAAUCGAUCAUUCUUCUGAACACAGAACUGUUAUUGUUCUUAAAGAUCUUCUGUAGCAAUUGAUUAAUGAAUGGAAUAUUGGGCAGAUUUGCUGCUAUGACAAACAAGCAAUAAGUUAUGGGUUACUGAAGUAGAAAACAAACUCACAUGCACUAAAAUUCCAAAUCAAAACUAUUUGUGAUUUUCAAAGAAAUAUUUAAGCCAUUCGUGUAAUCCUGAAAGUUUUGUGCAAGGCAAGUUCAUAAUUGAUUGAAAGUGGCUAUUGCAAUUAGGCUACCGAAAACUUGGCGAUAUUGAAAAAAAUAACUGAACACCGUUUAUUUAUUUGUAUAUUCGUUCAGGGAAUAACUCAGUAUCCUCUUCAGUGUUUUUUUUUUUGUUCCUGUUGGCGCUUUUCUCGUCGGAAAUAACUUUGCUCUCUUCUCUCUCUCUCCCUUUCCCUCGCUCUCCCUCUUUCUCUCUCUCUCUCGCUCCAUUUUGAGCAUUGACUGAAACAACAGAAACUAUCGUAUCAGAGAACGACACAUGAGACAUUUCUGAACAAGUCAAUGAGGACCUGAGCCCUUGGACCAUGCCUCAGGACUACCUGGCAUGAUGACUCCUUGUUGUCCCCAGUCCACCUGGCCGUGCUGCUGCUCCAGUUUCAACUGUUCUGCCUGCGGCUAUGGAACCCUGACCUGUUCACUGUGAUUACUAUUAUUUGACCAUGCUGGUCAUUUAUGAACAUUUGAACAUCUUGGCCAUGUUCUUUUAUAAUCUCCACCCGGCACAGCCAGAAGAGGACUGGCCACCCCUCAUAGCCUGGUUCCUCUCUAGGUUUCUUCCUAGGUUUUGGCCUUUCUAGGGAGUUUUUCCUAGCUACUGUGCUUCUACACCUGCAUUGCUUGCUGUUUGGGGUUUUAGGCUGGGUUUCUGUACAGCACUUUUAUAUAUCAGCUGAUGUAAGAAGGGCUAUAUAAAUACAUUUGAUUUGAUUUAAAGUAAUGAUGGACUGUAGUUUGUCUUUGCUUAUUUGAGCUGUUCUUGCCAUAAUAUGGACUUGGUAUUUUACCAAAUAAGGCUAUCUUCUGUAUACCAACUCUACCUUUUCACAACACAACUGAUUGGUUCAAACGCAUUAAAAAGGAAAGAAAUUCCACAAAUCACAUUUUAACAAGGCACACCUGUAUUCCAGGUGACUACCUCAUGAUGCUGAUUGAGAGAAUGCAAAGCUGCCAUCAAGGCAAAGGGUAGCUACUUUGAAUAAAUAUAUUUUGAUAUGUGUAACACUUUUUUGGUUACUACAUAAUUCCAUAUGUGUUAUUUAAUAGUUUUGAUGCCUUCACUAUUAUUCUACAAUGUAGAUAAUAGUCAAUAUAAAGAAAACCAUUGAAUGAGUAGGUGUGUCCAAACUUUUGACUGGUACUGUAUAUCAUGUGGUUAAAUGGAAUUGCAAGUUCUUGGUAUAAUAACUAUGCAACAACACAGUACCUAUUCUUUAGGCUUACUAGUGGCUAAUUUGAAACAGAAUUGGGUCCGUUUCCUUUCAGUACAAUUCGGCCAUUGUUCUAUCUGCACUUACUGUGUGACGCUGAAGAGGUAUUGGCUAAAGAUUCUGUUAUUAAUAUUAAAUAGGUUAUAGAGUAGAUGUAUCUAAGCGAAACUUAGCCUACUGUAAGGUUUUGUCAUAAUGUGUAAUAUUUUUUUAAAAACAUUUCAUUAGCCUAAAAAUAAUUUUGCUGUUGGUUCUCAAGCCCACGACUUCGUAUAGCAUUAAUUAUUGUGAUAUUAUUGUAAUUUAAAUUUUAAUGAAUACAUCACAAAUCAAGCGUUCCAUAACACAUGUGUUAUAACGUGAGUUGUUGCCAUGUGUUACGCAUAAUGAAAUUGUUGGAAGAUUUUGAGUUUUUAACCCUCCAAUGUCUGUAGGCGAGCCAUUUUACCACAAAGCAAUAUGAAUGCCUAUAUGAUACAGUAUGCCUAUAUGAUACAGUAUGCCUAUAUGACACAGUAUGCCUAUAUGAUACAGUAUGCCUAUAUGAUACAGUAUGCCUAUAUGAUACAGUAUGCCUAUAUGAUACAGUAUGCCUAUAUGACACAGUAUGCCUAUAUGAUACAGUAUGCCUAUAUGAUACAGUAUGCCUAUAUGAUACAGUAUGCCUAUAUGAUACAGUAUGCCUAUAUGACACAGUAUGCCUAUAUGAUACAGUAUGCCUAUAUGAUACAGUAUGCCUAUAUGAUACAGUAUGCCUAUAUGACACAGUAUGCCUAUAUGCCACGUUGAAUACAGUAUAUGCUGCACUCUUAGUAGUCAACAAAAUGCCUCAAUGCAGAUUCAUUAUCGUAUGAUUUAUUCAAAGUUAUGUUCUGUCUGUAGAGAUGAUUAAAUUAUUAUAUUAAACACACUUAACUCACUAA